rnacentral:rRNA from 1 species
GACGUAGGGCGCGAGCGUUGUUCGGAAUUAUUGGGCGUAAAGGGUGCGUAGGCGGUUUGGUAAGUCUUGUGUGAAAUCUACAGGCUCAACUUGUAGUCUGCACGAGAAACUGCCGGGCUUGAGUAUGGGAGAGGUGAGUGGAAUUCCUGGUGUAGCGGUGAAAUGCGUAGAUAUCAGGAGGAACACCUGUGGCGAAAGCGGCUCACUGGACCAUAACUGACGCUGAUGCACGAAAGCUAGGGGAGCAAACAGG